CAGUAGCCGCGGGAAUACGAAGGGGGCUAGCGUUGCUCGGAAUUACUGGGCGUAAAGGGCGCGUAGGCGGACAGUUCAGUCAGGGGUGAAAGCCCGGGGCUCAACCUCGGAAUUGCCUUCGAUACUGGCUGUCUUGAGUAUGAGAGAGGUGUGUGGAACUCCGAGUGUAGAGGUGAAAUUCGUAGAUAUUCGGAAGAACACCAGUGGCGAAGGCGACACACUGGCUCAUUACUGACGCUGAGGCGCGAAAGCGUGGGGAGCAAACAGGAUUAGAGACCCCGGUAGUCCCUGUCUCUUAUAC
rnacentral:rRNA from 1 species